rnacentral:rRNA from 1 species
AUGCACCAGAGACGAGAUCCUAAUUUCACCUCCGAUGACACGGCCCGCCGCGCUGAUCAAGUUUUGCAUCAGCCAAGGUCGUCUGCCACCCAUACAUCAGUGCCGGCCUCCUUGUCCACCGCCCCCAGCAUAGCAUGGGCAUGGCAACAUUGCUGCUACUCCUGUCCUGUGCAAGCUCGUCCUCCGCGUAGGGAAACCGUGAAAACCCCAACCCAGCCCAGAAACCCCACCGCAAUGUCCAGCGACGACGAGCUCCGCGGCCUCCUGGUCCAGGAAUCCACCGCCGCGAUCGUCUCCGGCGCCGACCCCUCCAGCCCCACCGCCCGAUCGGCCCACUUCCUCCUCCCCCGCGCGGGGGCCGCUCCCCUCCCCGCUCUGCCAUCCCCGCCACGCAAUGCCGACGAGCUCGCGGUGGAGUGGACGGACUGGCCCGGCUGCUCCAAGCUGUGGAGGCGGUGGGUGGCCAAGCUUCGGCCGCGGCACGAGCGCCUGUGGCGCAAAAUUGGGAUCUUGGACGGCGUUCUCGCGACCACGGGCUGGGUGCGGCGGGACGAGGACCUGCUGCUCCAGCUCGCGGGUUUCUGGUCCGGCGAGACCAACACGUUCCUCUUCCCGUGGGGUGAGGCCACGGUGACGCUGGAGGACAUGGCCGUGCUCGGGGGCCUGCCCCUGCUGGGCAGGCCGGUGUGGUCGCGGCUCCCGGACGAGCUCCGCGUGGACGUGGACGCGCUCCAAGCCGUCCGGAUCGCGCUCAACUGGAGCAAGAGCAAGAGAGUCAAUUAUACCUUGUGGGUUAAGCAAUUCAUCGAGGAGACCGGUGCCGGUGCUGGUGCCGCUGGCGACGGCAGAGGAGAGGCCGAGGCGGCCACAUUGCUCGAGCACGGGGCGUUUCUGGCCAUGUGGCUGACCAGAUACGUGCUUCCGGUGGAGUCAUUCGACGUGGUCAGAACGGACGUGCUCCCCCUCGCCGCCGGACUGGCGCGCGGCAGAAGGAUGCUUGAUCCUGGGCACAUCCAUGCAGUGUUCAUGUCCCCGGAUGAGUUCAAAUGGAGGCCGUACGGAGGCAGUAGCUUUGCUCUGCCACAAGCCAAAGGUGGCUGCUGGGUGCACUGCAAUGAAUUAGCAACAAGCAAGGGAUUGCAAUCCUUUGCGCAAUGUCUCCGACCUUGCGAACUUGUCGGCAUGCAAUGCAUCGAGCAAUACUGUCCGCACCGUGUCGCGAGGCAGCUCGGCUUCGAUCAGGACGUACCUGGGACUGUUGCCCGUGCCAACUCAAGUCAAAAGACGGCAUGGGCGACAUACAAAAUGCAGCCUGGAAAUGUUUCGCUCUUCGUUCCGCAACGCGAUCCGGGCAUGACAGUUGAAUACGCACAAUGGUGGAAGCAAUACUCGUCAGCAUGUGCUGCCGCCGUUGCUAAUGCUGCAAGGAUGAAACAACUUAAUGUUGUAGUUAUUAGCCCAAGAAAGAUGAAAGCUGAUGGUCUCAGUCUCAGUGGUGUAGAUUGUGGCAAAAAGCGUCACUUGGAGGCUGGGAUGACUCUGCAAGAUGAUACAGAGGAUGAGAUUCCGCUGGAAGAGAGGCUGAAUAGUGUCAUUCUAAAGACGGAAAGCCAGGAUACAGAGAUGCAUAUUUUGAAAGAUGGCGAGACAAAGCAAAAUUCAGAAACCGUGAAGGAUUUGGUGCCAAGAUGGGCAGGAAAAGGCAGACGUAGGGCAAUUUCACGCAAAGUUGCUGAGAAAGCUUUCUCUGAUGCAGAGGCAGUUUUGGUGAGUGAAGUUGAUAAACCAUCGUGUGGGCCGGUCACCAAGAAUGAGAAUUUUGAAGAGCAAGCAUUAGGCUCGGUUAUUCCGUGUGAUGAGAAGAAUUUCAGUUCAGAACAUGGGGAAGUCGAGGGUGCAGCGACCGCUAGAAGCAACAAAGGCAUUAGAGCUGCAAUUGGAGCGGACAUGUAUUCAAAUCUUCCAGACAUCUUGGCCAUCAGUGGUAAUGAGUUGGAUGAAAUAUUCAGAAAGGAUAGCGAGGCGAGUGCAAUUUAUAUGGAACUGUCCAAGUUGACGAUGGCAGCAUCCAACUCAGACCAGCCAAAUGAAGAAUUCGAACGACAACUGGUCACCAUAAGAAGAGAUGAGUCGAAGGAAAUCAUGGUCCAAAACAAUAGUGAUUAUGAGCUUCCUACUGUCCAAAGUGAUAUCACUCUCAGACAAGGACCAGUUAAAGUAACUCAUGCCACUAAUGUUCAAACUAAUGUUGAUGUCUUAGAAGAAUGCAUUGAUGAAAUGCAGACACGCAAUGUAAUGGCAGAGGGAGAUCAGAGAGCGAAGGUGGACAGAGAAAACUCAAAAGGAAUCAAUGAUGCAUCUUAUAAUGGUCUAGUAUAUGGAAAGAAUGAAGUGGUCAAGAGAGUAAUUUCUACUAAAACACUCUACUAUCUUAGACCAUUCAAGCGGGUGAAAGAUGCUCAGGUCAGAGAUUCAAGAGCCACCAAUGCAGGUCAAGUCAUUUUCCAACCAGGACGGGAAGUCGGAACAACGGAAAUGAUUAGAGAGGCGUCUGAAGCUCGAGAAGCAGAAAAGGUUGAGUUGGAAACAAUAAUUGAUCGUCUUAAGAAACAAGUCGUGGCGCUAGAGGUGCAGUUGCGGGGCAGGAGAACCUAG